GGAGAGGUGGCCGAGUGGUUUAAGGCGGCGGUCUCGAAAACCGCUGUGGGGGCAACUCCACCGGGGGUUCGAAUCCCCCCCUCUCCGCCA
rnacentral:tRNA from 1 species